UACGUAGGGUGCAAGCGUUGUCCGGAAUUAUUGGGCGUAAAGAGCUCGUAGGCGGUUUGUUGCGUCGGCUGUGAAAUCCCGAGGCUCAACCUCGGGUCUGCAGUCGAUACGAGCAAACUAGAGUGUUGCAGGGGAGACUGGAAUUCCUGGUGUAGCGGUGAAAUGCGCAGAUAUCAGGAGGAACACCGGUGGCGAAGGCGGGUCUCUGGGCAACAACUGACGCUGAGGAGCGAAAGCGUGGGGAGCGCACAGG
rnacentral:rRNA from 1 species